rnacentral:rRNA from 2 species
UGGGGAAUCUUGCACAAUGGGCGAAAGCCUGAUGCAGCGACGCCGCGUGAGGGAUGACGGCCUUCGGGUUGUAAACCUCUUUCAGCAGGGACGAAGCGCAAGUGACGGUACCUGCAGAAGAAGGACCGGCCAACUACGUGCCAGCAGCCGCGGUAAUACGUAGGGUCCAAGCGUUGUCCGGAAUUAUUGGGCGUAAAGAGCUCGUAGGCGGCUUGUCGCGUCGGCUGUGAAAACCUGGGGCUCAACCCCGGGCCUGCAGCCGAUACGGGCAAGCUAGAAUUCGGUAGGGGAGACUGGAACUCCUGGUGUAGCGGUGAAAUGCGCAGAUAUCAGGAAGAACACCGGUGGCGAAGGCGGGUCUCUGGGCCGAUAUUGACGCUGAGGAGCGAAAGCGUGGGGAGCGAACAGG